rnacentral:tRNA from 1 species
UCCCUGUUGGUCCAGCAGGUAAGACUCUGUGCUCCCAAUGCAGAGGCCCAGGUUUGAUCCCUGGUCAGGGAA